AUUGCUAAAAGCGGCGUAAAACCAUACAAACUCACUCAUAUGCAUACUGGUAAAUAGAAGUGAAAAUGAAAGUACAUUUUCUAGGAACCCUGUAAUUGAGCAUUACGUCAGCUAUCUCCAUACCAAUAAUCUACACCAUUGCACAAGAGUACACUGUUACUAUAAAUAGAGCCAACGUGUAUCGACAACCAUAUUGCUGUUGUUACGAACUAGUAGGAACAACACACAUACCAUCAUGGCGGUAGGAGGAAGCACUGGUGCAGGAAAAGAAUAUCUUCAGAAGCUGUUGGACAAAGCCAAUGACCACAGCAAAAAGUGGGACAUCUGAAGCUGUAUAUUACCUUUACCGUAAUAAGCCCGCCAGUUACUUCCAGGAUAUCAAGAAUAACCACAAUGGCAUUAUGAAAAGGAGAACCAAAGACGAUGGGGUGAUUCGCGCUGUCCAAUCAACGGCAAACUUGGAGGCCUCUUUUUCGGAGUUACGCUACACAGUGGGGGUAUACCAGACAAAUCACCGUUUGGAAACACCAGAGUUAAAGUUCCACUGAGUGAGGUCUUCCAGGAAUCCUCAAAUUUGUACUUUGCCGAUUUCUACUGCAAACCCUCUCGCAACCGCAUCCACUAUGUUACCCUGGUUCUGACCAAGUCUGAUUCAGAGGCGGAUCGUUUCUGUAAAGAGAACCUGAUCAAGCUCGAUGUCAUGAACAACUUGUACCUGAGAAAGCAAAGCUAUGCGUACUCGACCCUGAAGCGAUCCAAAGUAUUUGUCGAUGUAUUCUACACAGAAGAUAUUGACAUUUCAAACAGAAUCCUAAGUUCUACUGGGAUAUACGGGCGUGGGCAAAGUAUCGGGGAAUACGGAAAGCUGGUGGUUGUGGGAUUUGCAAUGUUGGAGUCGAACCCGGAAGAAGAUAUGUGCCUACCGUGGAAUAUGACGAUCCUUUUGACUUUGAUAAUGGCAUAGAUUUAUGGAUGUACGAUGAUUAUGACGAUUAUGAUCAUUGUGUCUAUGAUUAUAAUGAUUAUUUGGGCUAUGAGCCCGGUUAUUAUGAUGAUGACUGGUGAACCUCCAUUUAAUGGACUUGAGCAGAUUCAAUGACAGAUCAUCCCACUAGACUGACUGAGUUUAGUUUUACGCCGCUUUUAGCAAUAUUCAAUUUACGGCUGGGGACACCAGAAAUAGCUUCACACAUUGUACCCUUGUGGGGAUCAAACCCUGGUAUUAGGCGUGACAGAGCGAAAGCUUUAACAACUAGGCUACCCCACCUACCGUCAUCCCACUAGAUGCUACGUGUCGACCAAAAAUCUUUUUAUUUGUUCCAAAGACUACAAUGUCAUAUUACAAAAGUGUGGUACAUACAGAUAGAUGAUGCACAGGUAGUAUGUCAACAUCAUAUUGAUAAACAUAUAUAAGUCAAUAAAAGAGAAAGAUGGUAUCAAGUAUAUAUGGAUACAUUUUAAAGUCAUCAAAAUACUGGGAAGACAAGGCCCCAUUUAUGAUUUAUAUGUUCUGCUUUAUUAUUUUUUGUAUAUGAUUUUCAACAAAGAAUAUUUCUUUCAGAGUUUCAGAGUACCAAACCAAAUCAUACGUUUUAAUAAUAGCAAUGGAUGGGGGUAUAAAUUGUUAAGCCAGAUGUUCCCCAAAAGUUUGUGUCUCCUGACAUUCCCAGUACACAUUCCCAGUGUAAAAACUAUUUACAUGUUUAUCCCAUGAUAUGCCUUGUUAUGUAGUUAUGUAGAUUUUAUCACACAAUUUGCUUGUGUAAAACUGUUGGAGUGACAUAUUUUUCCAACAUCUAAUAUUAUCGUAUUAUACUUAUAGUUGAUGCCAUGCACAUGUCUGUUUACUGUUCUAUUUGUGUGUUAAGUAGUAUUCGUGUGUUAAGUGUUAAGUAUUAACAUACUUGUUUGUAAAAAAUGUGUAUAAUGUGUUUAAUGUGUAUGUUGUUUUCAGAAAUUCUAGGAUGAUUGUCACUGCAAUAUACUGGUUUACGCGCAACGAAUGAAACGAAAUGGAUUCUUUAUACGAACAAAUAAGUUAAUGAGGCAGAAAAUUAU